rnacentral:rRNA from 1 species
GAGACAGCAGUAGCCGCGGUAAUACAGAGGGUGCGAGCGUUAAUCGGAUUUACUGGGCGUAAAGCGUGCGUAGGCGGCUUCUUAAGUCGGAUGUGAAAUCCCUGAGCUUAACUUAGGAAUUGCAUUCGAUACUGGGAAGCUAGAGUAUGGGAGAGGAUGGUAGAAUUCCAGGUGUAGCGGUGAAAUGCGUAGAGAUCUGGAGGAAUACCGAUGGCGAAGGCAGCCAUCUGGCCUAAUACUGACGCUGAGGUACGAAAGCAUGGGGAGCAAACAGGAUUAGAUACCACUGUAGUCCCUGUCUCUUAUAA